rnacentral:rRNA from 2 species
GGCGCGCUUAACACAUGCAAGUCGAGCGAUGAAACUUUAACAGAACCCUUCGGGGCGAAGAUAAAGUGGAUUAGCGGCGGACGGGUGAGUAACACGUGAGUAACCUGCCUUAGACAUUGGGAUAGCCUCGGGAAACCGGGAUUAAUACCAAAUAAAAUCAUAAUGACACAUGUCAUAACGAUCAAAACUCCGGUGGUCUAAGAUGGACUCGCGUCCCAUUAGCUAGUUGGUAGAGUAAAAGCCUACCAAGGCGACGAUGGGUAGCCGGCCUGAGAGGGUGAACGGCCACAUUGGAACUGAGAAACGGUCCAAACUCCUACGGGAGGCAGCAGUGGGGAAUAUUGCACAAUGGAGGGAACUCUGAUGCAGCGACGCCGCGUGAACGAAGAAGGCUUUCGAGUCGUAAAGUUCUUUUAUAUGGGAAGAUAAUGACGGUACCAUAAGAAAAAGCCCCGGCUAACUACGUGCCAGCAGCCGCGGUAAUACGUAGGGGGCUAGCGUUGUCCGGAAUCACUGGGCGUAAAGGGUUCGCAGGCGGAAAUGCAAGUCAGAUGUAAAAGGCAGUAGCUUAACUACUGUAAGCAUUUGAAACUGCAUAUCUUGAGAAGAGUAGAGGUAAGUGGAAUUUUUAGUGUAGCGGUGAAAUGCGUAGAUAUUAAAAAGAAUACCGGUGGCGAAGGCGACUU